CGAGUAGUGACAAAAUUGGCACGUGCCGACCUUGGACGUCGGAGAAUGCAGGUUCGAUCCCUGCCUACUCGA
rnacentral:tRNA from 3 species